rnacentral:rRNA from 1 species
GACGAACGCUGGCGGCGUGCUUAACACAUGCAAGUCGAACGGUGAAGCGCCUUCCUUUUUGGUGGGUGUGGAUGAGUGGCGAACGGGUGAGUAACACGUGAGUAACCUGCCCCCUUCUUCUGGAUAACCGCAUGAAAGUGUGGCUAAUACGGGAUAUUCUGGGUCUGUCGCAUGAUGGGUCUGGGAAAGAUAUUGUUUCGGUGGGGGAUGGGCUCGCGGCCUAUCAGCUUGUUGGUGGGGUGAUGGCCUACCAAGGCGGUGACGGGUAGCCGGCCUGAGAGGAUGGACGGUCACACUGGGACGGCGAGACGGAGCAGACUCCUACGGGAGGCAGCAGUGGGGAAUAUUGCACGAGGGGCGGAAGGCUGAUGCAGCGACGCCGCGGGAGGGAUGGAGGCCGUCGGGUUGUGAACCUCUUUCGCCAGUGAAGCAGGCCUGCCUCGUUUGUGGGUGGGUUGACGGUAGCUGGAUAAGAAGCGCCGGCUAACUACGUG